UGUUUACCCGCAAACGUCUACUCCCCGUUACGGUGACCCUCGUCUCGGCGCACGAACGUACAGGCCCGGUGACCGUCGGCCCGUCGGUGGACCGAGGAAGACCGUCGCGGAGCGGCGUCGACCGUUCGUCGUGUGUUGGCGUUCGACUCGGGGGGACUGGUUCCAGUGCCCUCGGACCGCGCCGGCGCAGCGGCGGGCGCGCACGGCGUCGCGCCUGGGGUCGGUGGCGAAACGGCCGGCAACCUGUCCGACCCGUCUUGAAACACGGACCAAGGAGUCUAACAUGUGCGCGAGUCGUUGGGCGCUACGAAACCCGAAGGCGCAAUGAAAGUGAAGGCCCGGUCUCCGGCCGGCCUGGGUGGGAUCCCGGCGGUCUCGGCCGUCGGGCGCACCACCGGCCCGUCUCGUUCGUUACGUCGAGGAGGCGGAGCAAGAGCGUACACGUUGGGACCCGAAAGAUGGUGAACUAUGCCCGAGUAGGACGAAGCCAGAGGAAACUCUGGUGGAGGUCCGCCGCGAUUCUGACGUGCCAAUCGAUCGUCAAACUUGGGUAUAGGGGCGAAAGACUAAUCGAACCCUCUAAUAGCUGGUUCCUGUCCAACUUUCCCUCAGGAUAGCUGUCGCUCGUGCUGAUCAGUUUUAUCCGGAAGAGCGAAUGACUGGAGGCUCGGGG
rnacentral:rRNA from 1 species